rnacentral:rRNA from 1 species
GACGAACGCUGGCGGCAUGCCUAAUACAUGCAAGUCGAACGGAUCUUGUUUGAGAGCUUGCUCUCAAACUUGGUUAGUGGCGGACGGGUGAGUAACACGUAGGCAACCUGCCCAUAAGAUCGGGAUAACAUUCGGAAACGGAUGCUAAGACCGGAUAAACAUUUGGCCGCAUGGCCUUGUUGGGAAACACGGAGUAAUCUGUGGCUUUGUGGAUGGGCCUGCGGCGCAUUAGCUAGUUGGUGGGGUAAUGGCUCACCAAGGCGACGAUGCGUAGCCGACCUGAGAGGGUGAACGGCCACACUGGGACUGAGACACGGCCCAGACUCCUACGGGAGGCAG